rnacentral:rRNA from 1 species
GACGAACCGUGCGAACGUUAUUCGGAAUCAUUGGGCUUAAAGGGCGCGUAGGCGGCGAUAUAAGUUGGAAGUGAAAUCCCAUCGGCUCAACCGUGGAAUAGCUCCCAGUACUGUAUCGCUCGAGGGGGAUAGGGGUCUGCGGAACUACCGGUGGAGCGGUGAAAUGUGUUGAUAUCGGUGGGAACGCCAGUGGCGAAGGCGGCUCACUGGACCGGUACUGACGCUGAUGCGCGAAAGCGUGGGGAGCAAACAGG